AGGGCACCACCAGGAGUGGAGCCUGCGGCUUAAUUUGACUCAACACGGGAAAACUUACCCGGCCCGGACACUGGAAGGAUUGACAGAUUGAGAGCUCUUUCUUGAUUCAGUGGGUGGUGGUGCAUGGCCGUUCUUAGUUGGUGGAGCGAUUUGUCUGGUUAAUUCCGAUAGCGAACGAGACUCUAGCCUACUAAAUAGACCAGAGGCUUCUUAAAACACGUCUCUGGCUGCUUCUUAGAGGGACAGGCGGCGAUUCAGCCGCACGAAACAGAGCAAUAACAGGUCUGUGAUGCCCUUAGAUGUCCGGGGCCGCACGCGCGCUACACUGAAGUGAUCAGCGUGCUUUUUGUACCCUGCUCUGCCAAGAGUGGGUAACCCAAUGAACCUUCUUCGUGAUUGGGAUAGGGGAUUGUAAUUAUUCCCCUUGAACGAGGAAUUCCCAGUAAGCGCGAGUCAUAAGCUCGCGUUGAUUACGUCCCUGCCCUUUGUACACACCGCCCGUCGCUACUACCGAUUGAA
rnacentral:rRNA from 1 species